rnacentral:lncRNA from 1 species
AGCAAAUACGUCGCACCAGCUGGAUCAAGAUCGGUUGCUGUCUCUGCUGUUGCUGCUGACCCUGAUAGACCCCUCUGGUUCCCUGGUAGUACCCCUCCUCCAUGGCUCGAUGGCAGGUCAGUCAUAAUCAAAUAUGACUCCACUUCCAUUCAUUGUUCUGGUGGAGCUAAUUUCAAACUUAAUUUUUGCUAUGCAGCCUCCCCGGGGACUUUGGUUUCGACCCUCUUGGCCUUGGUAAGCCAAAAUCAUAAUCUUGGUAGUUCCUUGAAAUCAUAUCUUUCUUCUCUAUGAUAUAGCAUACUUAUUCUAAUUGAGUAAUAUCAAGGAUUUAACCUAUCUACGACUAUCAGUGUAUAACACUUUAUACAAGUCUUAAGUCUAGUGUUGCUAAAUCCACAUUUUAUGGAUGGUUAGUUACCUGUAGCUAUCUUUCAAAUGACUAGAUAUUGUUUUACACUCUGAAAUAACAACUGUUACUGAUCACUGACAGCAUCUGACCCGGAGAGCUUGAAAUGGA